rnacentral:sRNA from 1 species
GGGGUCGAGUAUGUGAGGUGGGAGUGGGCGGAGAGGGGAGAUGAAGUCCGGCGGAGGUAGGAGUUACAGGCCCAAAAACUGCGACUGGCAUACACAAGGAGCUCUCAUUAUGGUGGGUCUCUGCCCAAUGUUAACCAGAUUGGCUCUGGCCUGGCCGAGUUCCAGGUGAGUAGACCCCAGCCAGGGAGGAGUGGAGUUUCUUAGGCUGCUUCCUCUGCUGACUUCUGUCCUUUUUGGCAGAGCCCCCUCCACUCACCUUUGGAUUCAUCUCGGAGCACUCGGCACCAUGGGCUGGUGGAACGGGUGCAGCGAGAUCCUCGAAGAAUGGUGUCCCCACUUCGCCGAUACCCCCGCCACAUUGACAGCUCUCCCUAUAGUCCUGCCUACUUAUCUCCUCCCCCAGAGUCUAGCUGGCGAAGGAUGAUGCCCUGGGGCAAUUUCCCUGCAGAGAAGGGACAGUUGUUUCGACUACCAUCUGCACUUAACAGGACAAGCUCUGACUCUGCCCUUCAUACAAGUGUGAUGAACCCCAGUCCCCAGGA